rnacentral:lncRNA from 1 species
CAUCAUUAUUAGAUUAUGCAAAUAUGAGUUGUUAUACAACUGGGAGGUUUUUGCAUUCUUGGAUUCACUUGUGCAUUGUUAAUGGUAAUUAAACAUUUUCUGAAUGUGGGGUUUCCUCCUGUGUGGAAUGUUUCCUCUUGAUCUGAACUUUUCUGAAGUCUGGAGGUGUGAGCGGGAAGGUGACAAGGCAUCUGUUUCUAGAGUAAUAGAGGAGGAAAUGGAGACAUAUAUUUUAGCAACAUCCUCAAGCUCAUCCAGUCUGCUGAGAGGACAGAGAGAGAGCUGAGGACUCUGGUUGAAGAGGCAGAAAAGGGUCUCCAGACAAAUAGAGAAGGGAGAGACACACAGAUGAAAUGAAGAUGUAUAACAGUAAGAUUUGGUUUGGGCUUUUUGCCAUCUUGGGAAGUUUGGCGGGUCGUGACUGUAGACCUGCUUCAGGUUCACUGGAAGCCAUGCAGUUAGGGGACUUCAUGUUUGGAGGACUCUUUCCAGUUCACCAAAGCUUCAAGAUCGUCAACAUGACCAGCAAUCCUAUUGAAAACGUGUGUGAAACCUUCACCGUAUCCAGGUUGAUCCAAUCUCUGGCGAUGACUGAAGCGGUGGAGGCCAUCAACAAGUCCCCCAUGCUGAAUGGUCUCACAUUAGGCUACAAGAUCAUGGACACGUGCUCUGAUGUGACCACUGCUCUUCAACACACCGAUAUCUUCAUGGAUAAAAAUUGUGGCAGCACUAAUUCAUUUUUCAGGCUGUUAUUGGAGAGUACCAUUCUGAGGUUUCCAUCGCUGUGGCGAGGUAUCUCACCAUGGGUUAUAUGCCACAGGUAUGUUUUGUUUAAUUGACAGAUAAAUGACUAACAGCCCAAGUAGCCUAUCAAAUUGCGCUGCUGUCGCUGUCUGCCAAUUUUUCUGACAUCUUGAACUGUCGUGCACAUGCAACCACCAUAACCAAUUUCUAUUAUCUCACUCGGUGUCAGAAUGUUUCAGUAAUGCUCUUCUUAUUACUAUUAUUGCAGAUCAGUUAUGGUUCAACAGCUGGGGUUUUAAGCGACAAAAAACGUUUUCCGACAUUCAGGAGGACUGUCCCGGAAGAUGACCACCAGGCUAAAGCAAUCACCAAAAUUUUGAAGUACCACAACUGGACUUGGAUUGGCAUAAUAGCCACAGACGGAGAUUACGGCCGCUACGCCGCAGACCAACUUGAGGCGCAGGCCAAUAAACAAAAUAUUUUUGUGUCAUACCGAGUUGUGCUCC